rnacentral:lncRNA from 1 species
CAUCAGAAGAUUCUUAGUGCUUGGUCCUCAUUGAAAGGGGCAGGGAAAGUACCUGAAAUUCAAAAGUCAACAUGUCUCCCCUGCAGCUCGAGGACCAGUGGGAAUGAACUGUACCGUGGAGACGUCCUUUUCCAUAAACUUCAAAACUGGGAGAAGGCUGGAUCAAUAGCCUGUCAUUUUGAAAAGAACGGAAGGCCAGGAAUAUGAUGAUAAUCAGCAGGCUGCAUGGAUUUGCCAGAUACAAAUCAUAUUAACACGGAAAUCAUUUCUUUCCAUCAGAAGGGACAGCAAGCUCCUCGCACCUUUCCACAGGGGACACUCUCAACGUCCUGCUGGUGGGGCGGCUGUCGCUGGAGGCCACAUCCUGAUGAGUCCCUGAUUCUCACCAAACAUGCACAGCUGCGCAGCGAGUCUCCUCAUUCAGAACUAAAAUGUCUUCUGAUAUUUGGGAACUGCUGCCAUCGAGAGCAUCCGUCCUUGUCAUUAAUUAAAGUGAUGGAAGCUCCUCAGCCUGCGGCUCAGAACUGUCCCUAACAGGUGAUUAGGGUUUUUGGGGCUUUCACACUUCAUGACUCCAGGCGACAGAGAAGGAAGGGGGACCCGGGUGGGCGCAGAGACAAAUGCUCAGAGCAGGGACCAGGAAACUGGAUGCCUGGGCUCAGCUCUGCCUUGAGUUGGCUGAGUCACUGGGGACACGUCACUGUCUGGGUCUUAGUUUCCUUCUCUGCGAAAUGGGCACUGGCCCAAUGGAAGCGUGUGGUGAGGGUCACCCAGGAUUUGAGGUGCUCUUACCUUUAUGAUUUUCCUCGUCUGUAAAUGAGAGAAUUGGGCUCGGUCUCUGGGGCCCUUGGAGCCCCCUAGUCUAAUAGCUAUUUUGGAAAAUGAAAAAUUAUAAUACAAAUACUCAGUAUCAUCACUGCUGUUGUUCUUCCAAAUGAUCAGCUAAUGAUCUCGCUAAGGUACCAAACACCCUGCUGUUCACCCGUGGGCGGCACUCAGCCCUCAGCCGGAGGGAGCAAGGCAGCUCAGGACUGACGGCUGCCAGGUGUUUCUCCAUGGAACCAUGCCAAGAAGCCAGCAUGGAAAGGAUGCUUCUGUUAUGGCAAAGUGAAUCAUAAAGGAAAUGGCCAGCAUCUCCCCCAGUGAGGUGUUGCCAUGCAUUUUAACAGCAAAAAGAGUUGGGGGUAAGAAAUGGAUAUUGUCAUUAAAAAAAAAAAAAUUAACCUGGCUUUUGGCUAGCUCCAUUUUAAAAAAUGUAUGUCUUCUAAGUGUGGCCUCAUGCAGGGUUACAGUGAGGAGCAGGACACACUCCCUGGCAUUCCUGCUGGGAAAGCAGG